GAUGAACGCUGGCGGUAUGCUUAACACAUGCAAGUCGAACGGACUCUUCGGAGUUAGUGGCGGACGGGUGAGUAACGCGUGAGAAUCUGGCUUUGGGUUCGGGAUAACCACUGGAAACGGUGGCUAAUACCGGAUGUGCCGAGAGGUAAAAGAGAAAUUGCCUGAAGAUGAGCUCGCGUCUGAUUAGCUAGUUGGUGAGGUAAAGGCUCACCAAGGCAGCGAUCAGUAGCUGGUCUGAGAGGAUGACCAGCCACACUGGGACUGAGACACGGCCCAGACUCCUACGGGAGGCAGCAGUGGGGAAUUUUCCGCAAUGGGCGAAAGCCUGACGGAGCAAUACCGCGUGAGGGAAGAAGGCUCUUGGGUUGUAAACCUCUUUUCUUAGGGAAGAACAAAAUGACGGUACCUAAGGAAUCAGCAUCGGCUAACUCCGUG
rnacentral:rRNA from 1 species